GGGGUUGUGGCUCAGAGGUAGAGCGUUCACCUAUCAGGCGUGAGGCACUGGGUUUGAUCCUCAGCACCACA
rnacentral:tRNA from 1 species